rnacentral:rRNA from 1 species
GAUGAACGCUAGCGGCAGGCUUAACACAUGCAAGUCGAGGGGCAGCGCUGAGUAGCAAUACUCUGGCGGCGACCGGCGGAAAGGGUGCGUAACGCGUGAGCAACUUGCCCGUCACAGGGGGAUAACCGGUGGAAACGCCGACUAACACCCCGUAACACAUUUCGCUGCAUGGCGAGAUGUUGAAAACUGAGGUGGUGACGGAUAGGCUCGCGUGCCAUUAGCUAGUCGGCGGGGCAACGGCCCACCGAGGCGACGAUGGCUAGGGGUUCUGAGAGGAAGGCCCCCCACACUGGGACUGAGACACGGCCCAGACUCCUACGGGAGGCAGCAGUGAGGAAUAUUGGACAAUGGAGGCAACUCUGAUCCAGCCAUGCCGCGUGAAGGAACUAAGGCCCUAUGGGCUGUAAACUUCUUUAGACGCAGAGCAAUAAGGUCCCACGUGUGGACUGAUGAGAGUAUGCGUAGAAUAAGCAUCGGCUAACUCCGU